rnacentral:rRNA from 1 species
CGUGUAGGCGGUCUGCUAAGUCAUGUGUGAAAUCCCUCGGCUUAACCGAGGAACGACGCAUGAAACUGGCAAGCUAGAGUACCAAAGAGGGGGUGGAAUUCCCGGUGUAGCGGUGAAAUGCGCAGAUAUCAGGAAGAACACCCGUGGCGAAGGCGGCUCUCUGGGACGGUACUGACGCUGAGACGCGAAAGCGUGGGGAGCGAACA